GCUAAAGUUGUUAAUUUGAUAAUUUCUGGAUUUCAGAAUCGCAAUUUCAGCAGGGUUUCCAAAAUUCAGAUUCCAGGUUUAGUAUCAGAACUCUGAUCCCUUGAAAACUCAAAGUUUUGCACUCAAGAAACUUGAAAAAGCAAGAUAUUGACACAACAACUGAACAAGAACAAAUUCCAUUUGAAAUCUGGAAUUUUUUUAACUCAGCAAUUUCAGCACUUGAUAAUGUUCCAGCAGUUACAGAAACUUGAAAAGUCUGAACAUUACAGCUUCUAUUAGGACAAAAUUCAGCAUUUCAGCAUUUUAAACUAGCACAGUUCAGCAGAAAUUCAAAGCUGGUUCAUUCCUGAUUCCAAAUGCAUGCAAUUGCUGUACUUCAGUUUCAGAAAUCAGCUCAUUUUUGGAAAUUCCAGCCUCUUCCAGACUUAAGUUUCAGAAUUCAGUUUCAGAGCUACAAUCAGCAAGCACAUUCUCAUUUCAGCAAGGAAUUCAACAAGGAUUCAAUGGGGUUUGACUGCCAAAAGAUUUGUAGUUAAAGAAUUCAGAUUCAUUUCAG